CCUACGGGACGCAGCAGUGAGGAAUAUUGGUCAAUGGGCGCGAGCCUGAACCAGCCAAGUCGCGUGAGGGAAGACGGUCCUAUGGAUUCUAAACCUCUUUUGUCGGGGAGCAAAAGACGCCACGCGUGGCGUUCCGAGAGUACCCGACGAAAAAGCAUCGGCUAACUCCGUGACAGCAGCCGCGGUAAUCCGGAGGAUGCGAGCGUUAUCCGGAUUUAUUGGGUUUAAAGGGUGCGCAGGCGGAAGAUCAAGUCAGCGGUAAAAUUGAGAGGCUCAACCUCUUCGAGCCGUUGAAACUGGUUUUCUUGAGUGAGUGAGAAGUAUGCUGAAUGCGUGGUGUAGCGGUGAAAUGCAUAGAUACCACGCAGAACUCCGAUUGAGAAGGGAGCAUACCGGCGCUCAACUGACGCUCAUGCACGAAAGUGUGGGUAUCGAACAGGAUUAGAUACCCUAGUAGUC
rnacentral:rRNA from 1 species